AUCGAACGCUGGCGGCAGGCCUAACACAUGCAAGUCGAACGAGUGGCGGACGGGUGAGUAAUGUCUGGGAAACUGCCCGAUGGAGGGGGCUAACUACUGGAAACGGUAGCUAAUACCGCAUACCAUCGGAUGUGCCCAGGUGGGAUUGGCUAGUGGGUGGGGUAAAGGCUCACCUAGGCGACGAGUCCUAGCUGGUCUGAGCGGAUGACCGGCCAAACGGGAACUGAGAAACGGCCCAGACGCCUACGGGAGGCAGCAGUGGGGAAGAUUGCACAAUGGGCGAAAGCCUGAGGCAGCCAUGCCGCGUGUGUGAAGAAGGCUUUCGGGUUGUAAAGUACUUUCAUCGGGGAGGCGUUACCCGCAUAAGAAGCACCGGCUAACUCCGUGCCAGCAGCCGCGGUAAUAC
rnacentral:rRNA from 1 species